rnacentral:rRNA from 1 species
ACGCUCGACACCUACGGGGGGCAGCAGUGGGGAAUAUUGCACAAUGGGGGAAACCCUGAUGCAGCGACGCCGCGUGAAGGAAGAAGUAUCUCGGUAUGUAAACUUCUAUCAGCAGGGAAGAAAGUGACGGUACCUGACUAAGAAGCCCCGGCUAACUACGUGCCACAGCCGCGGUAAUCUGAGCGGGCUGGCAAGGC